rnacentral:rRNA from 1 species
UACGUAUGGUGCAAGCGUUAUCCGGAUUUACUGGGCGUAAAGGGAGCGCAGGCGGCGCGCCGAGUCUGAUGUGAAACCCCGGGGCUCAACCCCGGGCAUGCAUUGGAAACUGGCGGGCUGGAGUGCCGGAGAGGUAAGCGGAAUUCCUAGUGUAGCGGUGAAAUGCGUAGAUAUUAGGAGGAACACCAGUGGCGAAGGCGGCUUACUGGACGGCAACUGACGCUGAGGCUCGAGAGCGUGGGGAGCAAACAGG